rnacentral:lncRNA from 1 species
GAGGAAGGGAAGGAGAAGAAAGGAGGCCCUGGUCCGUGGCCCAGAAGAAAUGAACAUCUUCAAGUUUCCCACAUCUCUCAUCUAAGGGCUCUGUGAGCAGGAAAGACUAGGAAGCUGGAGUGCGUGGAGGGGCUACAUAAAGAAGGGAAGGAGCUGAUGGCCAGCUUGGCUGUCUGUGCCUGGUGCUGAACAGCGAAGGAGCCUGCUAUGGUCCCUCUGACACUCGCCUCCUGGUGGAAAGUCCCCAUGGAAUCAGCGCCAAGUCCCAUCACAUAUAUGUCCACCAAAGUACCAUUUACCAUGUUGCAGUGUAGCAGAAGACCAU